rnacentral:rRNA from 1 species
GACGAACGCUGGCGGCAUGCCUAACACAUGCAAGUCGAACGAAGAUAGCGAUAUCUUAGUGGCGAACGGGUGAGUAACGCGUGAGCAACCUGCCUUGUAUACUGGGAUAACACAGAGAAAUUUGUGCUAAUACCGGAUAUGACCACACUACCGCAUGGUAGAGGGGUGAAAGUGAUUUAGCGAUACAAGAGGGGCUCGCGUCCAAUUAGCUAGUUGGCGGGAUAACAGCCCACCAAGGCGACGAUUGGUAGCCGACUUGAGAGAGUGAUCGGCCACAUUGGGACUGAGACACGGCCCAGACUCCUACGGGAGGCAGCAGUGGGGAAUAUUGCACAAUGGGGGAAACCCUGAUGCAGCGACGCCGCGUGAGUGAAGAGUAUUUCGGUAUGUAAAGCUCUAUCAGCAGGGAAGAAAAUGACGGUACCUGACUAAGAAGCCCCGGCUAACUACGUG